rnacentral:pre_miRNA from 2 species
UCAAUACUCCCUCCGAUCCAUAUAACUUGUCUCUCAAACGGAUGUAUCUAGGCGUAUUUCAGUGCUAGAUACAUCCGUUUGAGCGACAAGUAAUAUUGAUCGGAGGGAGUAAUAU